rnacentral:lncRNA from 1 species
GUGGGGGCCCCGCCGCGGGGCGCCUCCCUCUCCGCGCCGCGCAAGCCCGGGGACUGCUCGCGGGUCGGGUUUCCCGCCAGCUCAGGUGGGUUUUUGCCCGGGCCCCUCCUCUGCCUCCGUCACAGCGGUGAAUCCCUCUGGGUCUGCAGCAACCUCAAUUCUUGCCUCCUCAGAAGAAAGAAUUUGACCAAGGGGCAUAAAGCAGAAAGAUAGUGCAAGGUUUUCAACUCUACUUUCAUCUCCCAUGAGACCUUUUUUUGAGACAAGCAAAGCCUCUCAGUUCAGCUUAUAUAUUUUUGAAUACACCCUCCCAACCUAAAAUCAAACUAGAGCUCUGCAAUUAGAACAUAGCUACAGAAGUUA